rnacentral:rRNA from 1 species
ACGGGGGAUCCGAGCGUUAUCCGGAUUUACUGGGUUUAAAGGGUGCGCAGGCGGCGGGGUCCGUCCGCGGUGAAACGCCGGGGCUCAACCCCGGCCUUGCCGAGGAAACCGCCCCGCUUGGAUACGGUCGAGGCCGGCGGAAUGCGUGGUGUAGCGGUGAAAUGCAUAGAUAUCACGUGGAAGGCCGAUUGCGGAGGCAGCUGGCCAGGCCGGUAUUGACGCUGAGGCACGAAAGCGUGGGUAGCGAACAGGAUUAGAUACCCUGGUAGUCCACGCCGUAAACGAUGAGCACUGGCUGUCGGCGACAGGCUGUCGGCGGCUGCGCGAAAGCGUUAAGUGCUCCACCUGGGGAGUACGGCCGCAAGGCUGAAACUCAAAGGAAUUGACGGGGGCCCGCACAAGCGGAGGAACAUGUGGUUUAAUUCGAUGAUACGCGAGGAACCUUACCUGGGCUCGAACGGCGGAUACGGCGCGCGAAAGGGCGCCUGCCCCUCGGGGCGUCCGCCGAGGUGUUGCAUGGUUGUCGUCAGCUCGUGCCGUGGGGUGUCGGGUUAAGUCCCAUAACGAGCGCAACCCCUGCCGCCAGUUGCCAGCGCGUGAGGGCGGG